rnacentral:lncRNA from 1 species
CAUAAGCAUUAUAACAUAUCUUAGCCAUUACCCAAUAAUAAUAUAAAAUGAAAAAUAAUUAAAUAAUCAAAUAUACAAAUAUAACUUGUAGACAUUGUAAAACAAAAUAAAAGCAAAGUCACACACACUAGCAAAAGUAAAGUAACAUAACGCAAAGUCACCAACAAUUUGCAAAGUCACCCAAAAGCAAAGUAACAUAACGCCAAGUCACAAACAAUUUGCAAACAAAAAACCCUAAGCUUCCCUGCCGUCACACACACUAGCAACAUUCAAUACUAAUUGGAUACACUCUCGACACGGAUUUGAAGGACAUCGGCCGCGCGAUUACAGCGAGAGCAAGCCAACUUUUUUCCCAAGUCUAUCGAGCCACUUCACAUUCACUGGUUCCAGCUGAACAAUUUCACUAUCACAACCUUCAAGAUCACCACCCGUACGGCUUCUCCUAGUUCCCAUGUGGACGGCUCCGUAAUCACCACUUUUCGACAGGCGCAACAGCCCUAGUGAAGGAUCAGACUGUGUUUGGUUUCUGAAACUUCGCCAUUUCAAUUAAUUGUGGCUUUAUUUCAACAAUUAAUUUCAGUGUUAUAUUAACGUAUUAUUGUAACUUUAUUUAAACAAUUAAGUUUGGUGUGUUAUAUUUUGAAACUUUGAACGUAUUAUUGUAGCUUUAUUUGAAUAAUUAGUCUCGAUGUGUUAUAUUUUGAAACUCUAAAUGUAU